rnacentral:rRNA from 1 species
UACGUAGGGAGCAAGCGUUGUCCGGAGUUAUUUGGCGUAAAGCGCUCGUAGGCGGUUCCGUAAGUCGGGUGUGAAAAAUCUGGGCUCAACCCAGUGGAGCACCCGAUACUGCGGUGACUCGAGUCCGGUAGGGGAGUGUGGAAUUUCUGGUGUAGCGGUGAAAUGCGCAGAUAUCAGGAGGAACACCGACGGCGAAGGCAGCACUCUGGGGCGGUACUGACGCUGAGGAGCGAAAGCGUGGGGAGCAAACAGG